rnacentral:rRNA from 1 species
AUGGCGGAGACGGCGAUCACGACGGUGCUGGCGAAGGUGGCGGAGCUGGUGGCGUGGGAGGCGGCGGUGCUGCUGGAGGUGGGCGACGACGUGCGCCUGCUCCGCGACAAGCUCGAGUGGCUGCACACCUUCAUCCGCGACGCCGACCGCAGGCGCCGCCUCCGCGACGACGAGUUCGUCGCCGUCUGGGUGCGCCAGACCCGCGACGUCGCCUUCGAGGCCGAGGACGCGCUGGACGACUUCCUCCACCGCGCUGGGCGACGCCGGAGGCGCCGCGGCCCGGCCCCGCCGCUCCCCGGCACGGGGGCGCGCUGCUCCGGGUGGCGCUGGAGCUGGCGCCGCUGGCGGCCGCGCUGCGCGGGGCUGCAGGUCGCGCUCCGCCACGACCUCUCGGCGCGCGUCCGCCAGAUCAGGAAGCGGCUCGACGAGAUCUCCGCCAACCGCGCCGCCUACCACAUCGAGCACGCGGCCUCGCCCGCCUGGGCCGCCUCCUCCGCCACCACCCUCGCCGCCUGGGACGAUCUGGAAGAGUACACUGUCGGCUUCGGCAAGUACAGCGACAUGCUCAGGGAGCAGCUCCUCGACGUUGACACCGUCCCCGGCCGCGCCCUCGUCUCCAUCGUCGGCGAGAGCAGCAUCGGCAAGACCACGCUCGCGCGCAAGGUCUACCAGAGCCCCGAGGUCCGCAACCACUUCGCCAUACGCACCUGGACCGUGCUCCCUCCCAACAGCCGCCCGGCCGACGUGCUCCGCGACAUCCACCGGCAGGCCACCUCCCAGCUCCGCCGGUCCCCGUCCAACGGCCAGAACGCGGAGGACGGCGGCUGCGACGCCAAGGGCGGCAAGGACAUCAGCAACUCGCUGUUCCGGAACAUGACCGGCAGGCGGUACCUCGUCAUCGUGGACGGCAGCAUCGCGGUGGCCGACUGGAACAGCCUCCGGGCGUCGCUCCCCGACGAGGGCAACGGCAGCAGGGUGCUGCUGGUCACCGACGCGGCGGGGCUGGAGGUGGUGGGCUACGCCGGCGGGCCGACGUACGACCCCAUCGAGCUCACGCGGCUUAGCCCGGAGAACACAUACGAGCUGUUCCGGCGCCGGGUGUUCGGCCUCCGCGGUGACUGCCCCGGCCGGUACAAGUCGAGGUACUACCAGGACGUGUUCCGGAUCACCCGCGGCCUGCCGCUCUCCAUCGUCGUCCUCGCCGGCGUGCUCAGGUCCAAGGAGCUGCCUGCGGAGUGGGACCAGGUGAUGGCGCAGCUGCUGGCGGCCAAGGACCAGCCGCAGCAUUGCAAGAGCGGGAGCGGCGGUGCCCGGCGUAUCAUGUCGCUGGCGUUCGACGACCUGCCGCACCACCUCAAGUCAUGCUUCCUCUACUUCGCAGCGAUGCCAGAGAGCGCCCCCGUGGACGCGGCGAGGCUGGUGCGGCUGUGGGUGGCCGAGGGGUUCGUGCGGCCGCGGCGCGGGAGCACCAUGGAAGAGGUCGGGCAGGGGUACCUCAAGGAGCUCAUCUCCCGGUGCAUGGUGCAGCUGGUGGACAAGGACGAGUUCGGCACCGUGACGGCGGUGGUGGUGCACGACCGCCUCCACGCUUUCGCGCAGGAAGAGGCUCAGGAGGCGUGCUUCGUCGAGAGCCACGACAGCACCGACGUGCUCGCCCCAGCCACCGUGCGCCGCCUCGCCGUCCAGAACACCACGGACAGGCACGUCCACCUCGGCAACGCGCUGCCCAAGCUCCGCACCAUCGUCUGCGACUUCGCCAACGGCGGUGCGGCGAAGCCCAGCGUCUGCAUCCACUCCACCGACCUGGGCUUCCUCCACGCGUCCAAGUUCCUCCGCGUCAUCGACAUCCAUGGCCUCGAGCUCAAGAAGCUUCCGGACGAGCUCGGCUCGAUGAUCCACAUAAGGUACCUGGGCCUCCAGUGCGGGCAGCUGGAGAGGCUGCCGAGCACGAUAAGCAAGCUGGUGAACCUGCAGUCUCUGAUCCCCAAGGGCCGGAGCGGCGGCGUGCUGGGCGUGACCGCCGCGUUCUGGACGAUCCCGACGCUGCGGCACGUGGUGGCGCCGUUCGCGCUGCCCAGGUGCCUGGGCGACCUGUACAGCCUCCAGACGCUCCACGGCGUGCAGCCCCGCGGCUGGGACACGCGCGCCAUCGCCGGCAACCCGCUGGGGAGGGCCACCAACCUCCGGUCGCUGGAGCUGAGCGGGCUGACGGCCGCGAACGCCGGCGCGCUGGUGACGGCGCUGGAGAGCCUGGACCUGCUGGUGCACCUGGUGCUGCAGGGCGAGUCGCUGCCGCCGGCCGUGUUCACCGUGGCGAGCCUGCGGCGGCUGCAGAGCCUGAGGCUGGUGGGGGCCAUGGACGAGGAGGAUGAUGCCGAUGCCGGCGACGAGGUGGCGGUCCGGUACAUCCGGCCGAACCUGACGCGGCUGUCGAUGUGGGGCACGAUGGUGGGGCAGGGGUUCGUGGACAUGCUGGGGGAGCUGCCGAGCCUGGCGGAGCUGACGCUGAUGUGGGGCGCGUACGAGGGCGAGCGGCUGGAGUUCGGCGACGGCGCGUUCCGGAGCCUGCAGAAGCUGAGGCUGGGGCUGCCGGACCUGGAGGAGUGGGCGGUGAGCGCCGGGUCGAUGGCGGCGCUGGUCCGGCUGACGCUGCUGCGGUGCGCCAAGAUGGAGAUGCUCCCGGAGGCGCUGGGCGGGAUGAAGGAGCUGGAGGAGGUGGUGCUGUACAGCAUGCCCAAGAUGGUGGGGAGGAUCAAGGAGGACGGCGGCCAGGACCACCACAAGAUCAAGCACGUCCCCGUCAUCCAGACCAUCUGGUAG